AACGUAGGACGCGAGCGUUAUCCGGAGUUACUGGGCGUAAAGCGCGGGCAGGCGGUCUGACAAGUGGGGUGUGAAAGCGCUGGGCUAAACCGAGCGAGGCCAUUCCAGACUGUCAGACUGGAGGGCAGUAGAGGUGGGUAGAAUUCCGGGUGGAGUGGUGAAAUGCGUAGAGAUCCGGAGGAAUACCAGAGGCGAAGGCGGCCCACUGGGCUGCACCUGACGCUCAAACGCGAAAGCUAGGGGAGCGAACGGG
rnacentral:rRNA from 1 species